AUGAUCACUUCCUUCCUCCCAGGGUUCUCCCCUCCUCCUCAAACAGCCCCCUCAACUAGAUUGGGGACCCCCACACACACAUACACACACCGCGCCCUCAAAUCCUUCAGACUCUUCAUUUUUCCCGCCCCAAACCCCAGGUUUCCCUGCUUCCCACUCCCACUUUCCACUAAAUGUGAUUUUUUUUACUCUCUACAGAGCGACCUCACCACAGAUUCUCUCUCUCCUUACCUCUCAGAUUGCUCCCUCCUCACCUCUGCUCUGAGCAGACUCUUCUCUCACUUCUCAGAUUCUCUCCUCCUCACCUCUUUCCUCAGAUUCUCCUCCGCAGAUUUUCUUCCUCCACCUCAGAUUCUCUCCUCCUCACUUCGGAUUCUUGCCUCCUUACUUCACGUUCUCCCUCCCGAUUCUCUCAUCUCACUUCAGACGGACCCCUCCUCACCUCCGACUGUCCCCCUCCCCCAACUCUCCUCGGCUUUUCACCUUCUCCAGAUUUCUCCUUGGAGUCUCCUCCCAAUCAAACGCUUUUCGGGGAUGACCAACCCCACCACGCCGGCCCCUUCCACCUCCGCAGCCUGUCACUCAUUCGCACACUCAUUUGCACGCUCGCACCCCCCAGUCGCCCCCUCCAUCCCCACGGCUCCCGCGGCUUCUGGCCCCUCACUCGCCUGCCUGCCUCACUCUCCGCGGGACUGUCAGCCCCAAGCUCCAACUCAGGUGGCCACAGUCCGACAGCCUCGGGCCGCCUCCGCGAGAGAGGCUCGGCGCCCUCAGCGCCCCACGCGUCCGCGCGGGCUCCUUCUUCCCGGGCUCCGUUCCCGGGUCUCGGGCCGCCCGCCCCCUUCGGAGGCCCCUUCGGCCCGCUGCCUCGGGCUCCCGAGCCCUCCCCAGAGUCCAAUUCUCACCUGGGCGGCUGCGGCCCCGGCCCCGGCCCCGGCCCGGCCCGCCCGCGCUGCGGAGGUUCCUCCGCGCUGGGCUCCUCCGGGCGGCCGGCAGCUCCAGCUCCACCGGACUGACAAUGAGGGGCGGGCCGCAGCUUACGUCAGCUCCCGUCGAAGGCGGGGCUAG
rnacentral:lncRNA from 1 species